AGAGUUUGAUCCUGGCUCAGAUUGAACGCUGGCGGCAGGCCUAACACAUGCAAGUCGAGCGGUAACACAGAGAGCUUGCUCUCGGGUGACGAGCGGCGGACGGGUGAGUAAUGUCUGGGAAACUGCCUGAUGGAGGGGGAUAACUACUGGAAACGGUAGCUAAUACCGCAUAACGUCGCAAGACCAAAGUGGGGGACCUUCGGGCCUCAUGCCAUCAGAUGUGCCCAGAUGGGAUUAGCUAGUAGGUGGGGUAAUGGCUCACCUAGGCGACGAUCCCUAGCUGGUCUGAGAGGAUGACCAGCCACACUGGAACUGAGACACGGUCCAGACUCCUACGGGAGGCAGCAGUGGGGAAUAUUGCACAAUGGGCGCAAGCCUGAUGCAGCCAUGCCGCGUGUAUGAAGAAGGCCUUCGGGUUGUAAAGUACUUUCAGCGAGGAGGAAGGCAUUAAGGUUAAUAACCUUGGUGAUUGACGUUACUCGCAGAAGAAGCACCGGCUAACUCCGUGCCAGCAGCCGCGGUAAUACGGAGGGUGCAAGCGUUAAUCGGAAUUACUGGGCGUAAAGCGCACGCAGGCGGUCUGUCAAGUCGGAUGUGAAAUCCCCGGGCUCAACCUGGGAACUGCAUUCGAAACUGGCAGGCUAGAGUCUUGUAGAGGGGGGUAGAAUUCCAGGUGUAGCGGUGAAAUGCGUAGAGAUCUGGAGGAAUACCGGUGGCGAAGGCGGCCCCCUGGACAAAGACUGACGCUCAGGUGCGAAAGCGUGGGGAGCAAACAGGAUUAGAUACCCUGGUAGUCCACGCCGUAAACGAUGUCGACUUGGAGGUUGUGCCCUUGAGGCGUGGCUUCCGGAGCUAACGCGUUAAGUCGACCGCCUGGGGAGUACGGCCGCAAGGUUAAAACUCAAAUGAAUUGACGGGGGCCCGCACAAGCGGUGGAGCAUGUGGUUUAAUUCGAUGCAACGCGAAGAACCUUACCUACUCUUGACAUCCAGAGAACUUAGCAGAGAUGCUUUGGUGCCUUCGGGAACUCUGAGACAGGUGCUGCAUGGCUGUCGUCAGCUCGUGUUGUGAAAUGUUGGGUUAAGUCCCGCAACGAGCGCAACCCUUAUCCUUUGUUGCCAGCGAUUAGGUCGGGAACUCAAAGGAGACUGCCAGUGAUAAACUGGAGGAAGGUGGGGAUGACGUCAAGUCAUCAUGGCCCUUACGAGUAGGGCUACACACGUGCUACAAUGGCAUAUACAAAGAGAAGCGACCUCGCGAGAGCAAGCGGACCUCAUAAAGUAUGUCGUAGUCCGGAUUGGAGUCUGCAACUCGACUCCAUGAAGUCGGAAUCGCUAGUAAUCGUAGAUCAGAAUGCUACGGUGAAUACGUUCCCGGGCCUUGUACACACCGCCCGUCACACCAUGGGAGUAGGUUGCAAAAGAAGUAGGUAGCUUAACCUUCGGGAGGGCGCUUACCACUUUGUGAUUCAUGACUGGGGUGAAGUCGUAACAAGGUAACCG
rnacentral:rRNA from 1 species